AGUAAAAAUAUCACUGGAAUAAUUGCUUAUACAGUCUUCAUUACUGGAGAUACUGAAGAUCAGGUUAUACUACAUCACAGAACUUAAAAACUGUUAUCUCAAGGUUAUUUUGAUCUGUAAGGAAGGCAAAGGAAUGAUGGUAUCUCUUCCAGCUCUAGUUUCUGUGAUUUUUUUCAGUUUUUUAAGGCAAUGAUACGCUCUCUGAUUAGCAGUGUUCCCAGUGUCGCUUACAUAGGCAAAGGAAAUCAGAUGCUUUGAACACACUUUGCUAGAGGAGAGGAAACAAAAUCUUACUCAUAGGUAGGGUAAAUAUUAGCAAAUUUUAGCUGACAAAGCUCUUGUCAUGAGUAGAUGUCCAGAAGUGCCAAUGAAGUGGAGUAUAAGGGGCACAGAACAUCGGUCUGACCUGAACGCCUUACACUGCACCACUUCUGCGGCCUCAUUCCAUCACCGGUGUGAACUGCGAGCUUCUGUAAAGCCUCAUCCACACGAGGUCUUCCUUUCUGCAGACGGUCAGAAACCCACAGAAGGGCUGCACCGAUCCUGAAAUGGAAGGCUGAUAAAGCAGCCUCUCUCCCUCGUCUCCACGUGGCAUGAAAGGCUAGAAUGUUAUCUCUGAAGCCAGGGAAAAGUAAGCAUUAAAUCGUGCCCAAAGGGGAGCAGAAAUGCAAGGAGCAGAAUAGAUCAAACACAGGUUCAGACAUACAAUCCCAGUGCAACUUCUGCUGAGGUUCAACGGUCAUUCCUGCCACACAAGACUGCUCGCUCCUUUAUCUGACUUCCUAACUGACAUGAAUUGGGAUUACUGGUGCUACGUUGAUCUUACUGAGCACCCCGUCUGUAGAACGGAAUCUGAAUGCUCCAGGUUGCAAAUUUGGUAUCACAGAACUUCCUUCACUAGAACAGGGUGAAAGGUGAGGAGAUACUCAACUGGUACGAAAAGGAAUCCCGAUAACAACUACGUGUUUGUUGUGUGUCUGUCCCAAAGGGGACUUAAACUUGAAAGUGGCUCAGGGCAGUAGUCCUGCUAACACGCUGCUGAAAACACUGCUUAGGAAGCCGGUACUGUCAAAUCCCGACGUGGCACAACGAGAAGGUAAGCAGCAGAGACACCACGGAUUGCUAACGGCGGGUUCAGUGAGCAAAUAACAAAGAACGAAGUCAGCAUUGCAGAGCUUGUUAUUUUAACUUGAGUAGAGGAUGUUUACUGUUCGAGGGACAAACAAGAAUACAGAUAAGAUGUCAGCUCAGCAGACCUCAGCCCAGAAUUUAUCGCACGCUGCUUAAAGAAGCUUUAAAUAACGAUAACCAGGACCCCCCACGGGUCACGGCCACCUGCCCUCUGCAAACAGCGCCCAGGAACGGCUCCUGGGCGGCUCUCAGGCUUUCUGCGCGGCUCUCCUCAGGCUCUGAGAGCAGCGCCGUGUGUGAGAACGGGGACCUCUGAGAGCCUCUCCGUUCCGGCACGGAGAAAUCACAACACAGCGGUUAAGACGUCGAUGCGAUGCGGAUUUCUUUGUACCGCUGUUUCCGCCGUCAGCUUGCCUCCCCGCAACACAAACAACAUUGGCAAUCCCUUAAGGGAGUCGUAUUCUCCCUUUGAAACCACGCCGUUAACGCCAGCCCCGUUUCCAGCCGGCCCCCAUCCCGCGGCGGGGCGGCGCUCAGCGUGGCCGCCAG
ensembl:lncRNA